rfam:Myotis lucifugus cont2.15339, whole genome shotgun sequence.
GGUGGUUCUUGGGUGACGCACCCUGGAAUCUGACUCCUUCCUCUCUGGUUCCAAGUGCAUCACCCGAGAACUGCC